AGCUGUAGUGCAAAUUCAGGAGGAAAGGAAAAAGAAUCCUAACCAUUUGCUGUCUCUCUACACAUCUGCUGACACAAAGGCAUGUGAUGCAACGAACAACUGCAAAGCUCUGUGGCAAAUGGGUCAAAAUGGAAUUGCACAGCAGAUUGAACCCAAGGGACAUCUAAUCUAACAGUCAGAUGGAGGCCAGUAUCAGCUAUUUCAGUGGAAGGUGUAAAAAUCAGCUGUCAGUAGACAUCAGGUUCCUGGUGAGCAGAGAUUUAUUCCACCGGAGGAGAGAGUGAGGGGUGGGCCCAGUGCUAAUGCAAGAAUUUGCUGAAGGGUUGCAUGCAGCUUUUCCACUGCAAACUGCUCACUCAACCUGUCCACCCUUUUCUGAAAUGUUUGCUUCAGAAAUAAUGUGCUUAGAAGCUGCCUGGAUCUCAAGAGCUUCAAAUGCAGAGGAUGUAAACAGUGUCCAGAAAUCUGAAGUGGAACAAGACGCUGCUCUGUCCAGUGACCUGCAAUAAAAGCAACAUGGCUCAGAGGAGCUUGCAGGGGUCAGGUAGUCCAUGCCCUGCCUUGCAGCAAGCUCAGCUCUUCCUAGACCAUUACUGAGAAAUAGGAGUCUACCCUGUUCUUAAAAAAUCUUCUGUGGGGGAGAUUCUGCUACCUCCUGAAGCAAACUGCUCUGGUACGUACUUGUCCUCAGUUGCCUAUUGAUGUGUAACAGCCCUGAGAAGUUGGACAGGUCUGAACCUAGGAUCCCCUACUUGGUUUUUCUGAUGUGAUAAAGAUGAUUUUGGUCUACACUGGAAUAUUCAUUUUUGAAGGUUUAUGAGGGUGGAGAAGACCAGAGCUCUUGCUUCACAUGUCAAGCGUAUCCUCUGACUUUGAAAGCAAAAUGAAGAGGGUCCCCCAGUGAUUCUGAGCUCAAAAUACUUGCAAGGCAAACUUAUGGAAGCUGAAAUUUCUGCAGCCACCAGUCAAGCUCAGACUGCUGGGACUGUUAGGCAUCUGGCUGCACAGCGGGGAGUCUGUCAGCCCUGUGAAAUGCAUCUUCUAGGCUCUGCCAUGGGCAGUGCAGGUAAGGUUGUGGAAAGGCAGGCACAUUUUCCUUGGAAGGCUAAAUUAAUCCAGUGUGUCCCUGCUAAAUAUGCAAAUUAUUGAAUUGGCUUAUUCCUGUAGGGGGGAAAAAGGUUCUGUUAAAAAUUGCUAACCAGCCUUUUAGAAAACCACCCUCCCACCAUGUGUUUAUCAAAUAUGCUAAUCCUUUCCCCUCAGACAGUUUGAGAUGCUUUUGCAUGGAUUUGCUGGGUCACAGUACAGAUGCAAGAUUCUUUGAGGUCAUUCUACAAGAGCAUUUCUGUUUGUGUUUUCUUGUAGCAGGCCUCUAUAUGGACAGACUCCCACUUCAGCUUGAAAGAUUGCCAGAGAAGAGCCUUUCUGCAUGUGGGUUUUGUAGGAAGUGAUCUAAU